UAACUGAAAGGGGGCGUUUACCACGGUAUGAUUCAUGACUGGGGUGAAGUCGUAACAAGGUAACCGUAGGGGAACCUGCGGUUGGAUCACCUCCUUA
rnacentral:rRNA from 1 species